rnacentral:rRNA from 1 species
CCCUUAGAUGUUCUGGGCCGCACGCGCGCUACACUGAUGCAUUCAACGAGUUCCUACCUUGGCCGAGAGGCCUGGGCAAUCUUUUGAACUUGCAUCGUGAUAGGGAUAGAUUAUUGCAAUUAUUAAUCUUGAACGAGGAAUUCCUAGUAAACGCAGAUCAUCAAUCUGCAUUGAUUACGUCCCUGCCCUUUGUACACACCGCCCGUCGCACCUACCGAUUGAAUGGUCCGGUGAAGCCUCGGGAUUGUGGUUAGUUUCCUUCAUUGGAAGUUAGCCGCGAGAACUUUUCUAAACCUUAUCAUUUAGAGGAAGGUGAAGUCGUAACA